AUUGAACGCUGGCGGCAGGCCUAACACAUGCAAGUCGAGCGGAUGAAGGGAGCUUGCUCCUGGAUUCAGCGGCGGACGGGUGAGUAAUGCCUAGGAAUCUGCCUGGUAGUGGGGGAUAACGUCCGGAAACGGGCGCUAAUACCGCAUACGUCCUGAGGGAGAAAGUGGGGGAUCUUCGGACCUCACGCUAUCAGAUGAGCCUAGGUCGGAUUAGCUAGUUGGUGGGGUAAAGGCCUACCAAGGUGACGAUCCGUAACUGGUCUGAGAGGAUGAUCAGUCACACUGGAACUGAGACACGGUCCAGACUCCUAAGGGAGGCAGCAGUGGGGAAUAUUGGACAAUGGGCGAAGGCCUGAUCCAGCCAUGCCGCGUGUGUGAAGAAGGUCUUCGGAUUGUAAAGCACUUUAAGUUGGGAGGAAGGGCAGUAAGUUAAUACCUUGCUGUUUUGACGUUACCAACAGAAUAAGCACCGGCUAACUUCGUG
rnacentral:rRNA from 1 species